rnacentral:rRNA from 1 species
GACGAACGCUGGCGGCGUGCUUAACACAUGCAAGUCGAACGGUAAGGCCCUUUCGGGGGUACACGAGUGGCGAACGGGUGAGUAACACGUGGGUGAUCUGCCCUGCACUUUGGGAUAAGCCCGGGAAACUGGGUCUAAUACCGGAUAGGACUACGCGAUGCAUGUCGUGUGGUGGAAAGCUUUUGCGGUGUGGGAUGGGCCCGCGGCCUAUCAGCUUGUUGGUGGGGUGAUGGCCUACCAAGGCGACGACGGGUAGCCGGCCUGAGAGGGUGUCCGGCCACACUGGGACUGAGAUACGGCCCAGACUCCUACGGGAGGCAGCAGUGGGGAAUAUUGCACAAUGGGCGCAAGCCUGAUGCAGCGACGCCGCGUGGGGGAUGACGGCCUUCGGGUUGUAAACCCCUUUCAGCACAGACGAAGCGUAAGUGACGGUAUGUGCAGAAGAAGCACCGGCCAACUACGUG